GGGUGAGUAAUGCUUAGGAAUCUGCCUAUUAGUGGGGGACAACGUUUCGAAAGGAACGCUAAUACCGCAUACGUCCUACGGGAGAAAGCAGGGGAUCUUUGGACCUUGCGCUAAUAGAUGAGCCUAAGUCGGAUUAGCUAGUUGGUGGGGUAAAGGCCUACCAAGGCGACGAUCUGUAGCGGGUCUGAGAGGAUGAUCCGCCACACUGGGACUGAGACACGGCCCAGACUCCUACGGGAGGCAGCAGUGGGGAAUAUUGGACAAUGGGGGGAACCCUGAUCCAGCCAUGCCGCGUGUGUGAAGAAGGCCUUUUGGUUGUAAAGCACUUUAAGCGAGGAGGAGGCUUCUUUGGUUAAUACCCAAAGUAAGUGGACGUUACUCGCAGAAUAAGCACCGGCUAACUCUGUGCCAGCAGCCGCGGUAAUACAGAGGGUGCAAGCGUUAAUCGGAUUUACUGGGCGUAAAGCGUGCGUAGGCGGCUAAUUAAGUCAAAUGUGAAAUCCCCGAGCUUAACUUGGGAAUUGCAUUCGAUACUGG
rnacentral:rRNA from 1 species